rnacentral:lncRNA from 1 species
AUCUCAGCACUGCUUUAGCUCAUAGAUUUUCAUACGUUCUUCAGCAGUCAGCAAUUUUGGUUUUGAUUUCUUCUUUGACCAAAGAUGUGUUUGAGAGAGCUUUUUGAUUUCUCACUGGCAGUUUCUGUUUUUACUUCCCAGAUAAUAUUAUUCCUUACUAGUUUUAUUGGUUUUUGUUCAGAGAAUGUUGUCUUUUCUAUCUACUUUUUUGGAGUUUUACUUAUAAAUUUAUUAAUUUGCUUUGUGACUAAAUAUAUGAGUGAUUUUUGUGAAUGUUCCAUGAGUGUUUGUAAAGGACAUGCAUUUUAUUUUUCAGGUUUUAGUGGGGUUUUGUGUGUGUUGUGUGUGUGUGUGUCUUAACUUAGUUUUUGUUCACUUGAUCAAAGAAAAGUGAAAUAAAAUCUCCAAUAUUAAUGUCUAUCUGUCUAAUUCUCCUUGCAUUUCCUAGUCUUCUCUUUAUGAAUGUUGAUACGUUAUUUGGUAUACAGACUUUGUGACUGUUAGAGCUUCCUUCUAUAUUAUACCCUUUUAGAUAGUUUGUCUUGUUAAAUGCUUUUGAUUGGAUUCAGGGCAGGCCACCUCAAGAUGCACCACCCUGGUAUGUGAAUUAUUUCGAGCUGAAGACAAUAAAGCCUCAGAAGACUCACGAAGAACGUUUGACCUUCCCCUAAUCUACCUAAAAGAAUUUAACGUGGAAGUUCGGCGACUUGGAUGGGAUAACAUUUCACUGACUGGACUCUGCUCGCUCCUGGCCUACUUCAGCUGAGAGAUCCUGGACCCCUGACAAGAGCCGGCAGGAGAGAGAUUCACGGAAAGGACUUUGACAUUUACUCUGGAAUGCAGCUUUCUGAUAAAGUUUCAGAUUGUAAAACGGAAUUGGAGACCGAGCGAGAGGAGACCUCGCUGGCCUCGGCUGGAGAGGGACGCUGUUCCAGGCACAUUACUGCGUGUAUGAUCAGCAGCCGUGAACGUGUCCAG